GAGGAUUAGCUUGGUGACCUGAGCUCCUCGUGUUGGCAUGUUAGCAAAUUUGUGUUUUGUUGUAUUGUAGCAAUUUUGUUUAUCUGUCAAUUUAUUCAGGGGAGCUGUGGAGUGCAGACACAGAAACCUACAUCUACAUGUUUAUUAGUUUCCUGCAGGCCAAUAAAACGAGAAGAUAAAAGUCCAAGCUGGCUUCAGUAGUUUCGUACGGUCAGGGAGAGAGGCUGCAAUGAAGAGCGUUACACUAACGGGUUCACUGAAGAAAUGGAACUGAUGGUCACACAGAUUUAUGGAGGCAGACAUCCAAACCUAGAUUGGACCUCCAGGAGAGACGAGUGUGGCCACUGGGACGUGCGCAUUUAUGGACUUAAAGGUGAAUAUUGUGCAGUGUUGCCAGAUGGGGAAAUAAGAAUAAGAAAACCUUUAAUGGUCCCGCAGUGGGGAAAUUACUUCUCACAACAGCAGUACAGAUGAGCGAGAAUACAGGUACAGAACAGUUUGUGUUGGCACAGUACAAAGCAGUACAGUACAGUUAGAGUGAGUAUGAGGUCAUUGCAGGGUUAUUGCACGUUAAUGGGUACAAGAUUUGUAC